UACAACAUAGUGUUAAUGUAUCGAAUCCCAUUAGAACUCUACAGUUAAGCAUGGUCGAGAUAGAAUAGUAUUAGGAAGGGUGACCGCCCAUGAAGUCCUAGUAUUUUAC
rnacentral:rRNA from 1 species